UACGUAGGGCGCAAGCGUUGUCCGGAAUUAUUGGGCGUAAAGCGCGCGUAGGUGGCUUCGUAAGUCCGUUGUGAAAGUCAAAGGCUCAACCUUUGAAUGCCGAUGGAUACUGCGAAGCUAGAGUACGGAAGAGGCGAGUGGAAUUCCUGGUGUAGCGGUGGAAUGCGCAGAUAUCAGGAGGAACACCAAUAGCGAAGGCAGCUCGCUGGGACGUUACUGACACUAAGGCGCGAAAGCGUGGGGAGCGAACAGG
rnacentral:rRNA from 1 species